AACGAAAGCUAAGAUGGAGAGUUGCGUAAGAUAUAAAUAGAAUAUAAAUAGAAUUUUACUGUUUGUUUUUUAAAGAAAACGAGUCGCAGUGGAUGUGUAUGUUCAUAAACUAGUUUAGGAAGUGUGUAGAUAGUUAAACUAUACCGCUGUUUUUGUUUUAAGUGGCUUUUUCCACUGUUUUACAGUAAAUAACUGGGCAGAACUCGUGGCUGGAUAUAUGGGUCUGAGCUGAAUGUAGUGUAGUUAGUUAGUAGGUGUGUGGCUGUAUGAGUGAUGCAGUCAGUCAGUGUAAUGUAAAGUAAUGGCAUGGCAGAAUGGAGCGCUACUCCUGCCUCUCUUCUUCACCCUCAACUUAUUCCUCUGGCUUAUUCCUGAAGCUUCAUUUGGACAGAAUGCAAGGUGCUGGUGGACAAACGUCUCACAUGAUGGCCAGGUGUCUAUAGAGUGCCAUGCAAAUCCACCAAGUUUCCUGCAGAAGUGUGGGCAGUGUCGACUUCGUCUUACCACGUCUGAAAACACAACCCAGGCUGACCUUCACCAAUGCUCCCGCAACGCUGCAAAUUUCACCGCUGUUCUGUCACCGCAGGCAAUGCAGGAUGUACGGGCCAAGCUCUUGUGCCCUGACCAAGGACCUCAGGACUGUAUUAUAAAAGGAGGAUUGCUUCCAGCUGGCCAGUAAUAUCUGGUAAUUGCGCCUUGUGGUCAACAGAUGUCGCUCUGGAAAAGGAGAUUAAAACAAAGAUUUGGAACUGGAUUUGGGAUUAAAUGUAUCUAGCCAAUACCUGAUAAGCGAAGGCCCACAGCUCUAUUCCAUUCUGUAUCCAUAAGCUUUUAGACAACAUGCACAAAUACAGAUGAAGUAAAACAAAGUACAGACAAAAAGUUCUACGCCUUAAUUUCUCAUUUUCUCAUAACUGCAUAACAUAAAAAUGUGUAGACCUG
rnacentral:lncRNA from 1 species